rnacentral:rRNA from 1 species
GACGAACGCUGGCGGCGUGCCUAAUACAUGCAAGUUGAGCGCUGAAGGUUGGUACUUGUACCAACUGGAUGAGCAGCGAACGGGUGAGUAACGCGUGGGGAAUCUGCCUUUGAGCGGGGGACAACAUUUGGAAACGAAUGCUAAUACCGCAUAAAAACUUUAAACACAAGUUUUAAGUUUGAAAGAUGCAAUUGCAUCACUCAAAGAUGAUCCCGCGUUGUAUUAGCUAGUUGGUGAGGUAAAGGCUCACCAAGGCGAUGAUACAUAGCCGACCUGAGAGGGUGGUCGGCCACCUUGGGACUGAGACACGGCCCAAACUCCUACGGGAGGCAGCAGUAGGGAAUCUUCGGCAAGGGACGAAAGUCUGACCGAGCAACGCCGCGUGAGUGAAGAAGGUUUUCGGAUCGUAAAACUCUGUUGGUAGAGAAGAACGUGGGUGAGAGUGGAAAGCUCAUCAAGUGACGGUAACUACCCAGAAAGGGACGGCUAACUACGUG